AAAAUUAGAGUGUUCAAAGCAGGCAGAUCCAAUUCUCUGCCACCGAAUACAUUAGCAUGGGAUAAUGGAAUAGGACCCUGUCCUCCUAUUUUCAGUUGGUUUUGGCAGCGCGAGGACUAGGGUAAUGAUUAAUAGGGAUAGUUGGGGGCAUUAAUAUUUAAUUGUCAGAGGUGAAAUUCUUGGAUUUAUGAAAGAUUAACUUCUGCGAAAGCAUCUGCCAAGGAUGUUUUCAUUAAUCAAGAACGAAAGUUAGGGGAUCGAAGACGAUCAGAUACCGUCGUAGUCUUAACCAUAAACGAUGCCGACCAGCGAUUAGGAGACGUUGAAUACAAAACACCACCAUCGGCGCGGUCGUCCUUGGCCGGGUUCUCGUCCUUCACGGGGCGCGGUUCGGCGGGGGCGGCUUAGCCCGAUGGCACCGGUGAA
rnacentral:rRNA from 2 species